rnacentral:rRNA from 1 species
GAUGAACGCUGGCGGCGUGCCUAAUACAUGCAAGUCGAACGAAUCACUUCGGUGGUUAGUGGCGAACGGGUGAGUAAUACGUAAGCAACCUGCCUAUGGGACUGGGAUAACGUUUGGAAACGGACGCUAAUACCGGAUAGGUAAAGAGGAGGCAUCUCUUCUCUAUUAAAGUUUAGAUACACCGAUAGAUGGGCUUACGGCGCAUUAGCUAGUUGGUGAGGUAACGGCUCACCAAGGCGAUGAUGCGUAGCCGGACUGAGAGGGUGAACGGCCACAUUGGGACUGAGACACGGCCCAAACUCCUACGGGAGGCAGCAGUGGGGAAUAUUGCACAAUGGGGGAAACCCUGAUGCAGCGACGCCGCGUGAGUGAAGAAGUAUUUCGGUAUGUAAAGCUCUAUCAGCAGGGAAGAAAAUGACGGUACCUGACUAAGAAGCACCGGCUAAAUACGUG